rnacentral:lncRNA from 1 species
UGUCCCACAGACCUUUUUCCAUCCCGGGUCGGCGAGCGCAGCUACCAGAGAGGCCACUGGGUUCCUUAGGUAAAUCUGUUUGCAACCCACGUUUGGGACCAGAAUACCCGAUGGCCUGCCUUGUGUCUCCCAUUGGUGGGUCCGGGUGGGGACGGUGAAGUAAAGGUGAAUUGCGGUGCAGAUUACUAACAGAGCAGGGGGUCUCUGUCUGCCACCUGGGGGCUGCCUGCUGGGAGACCCUCCAACUUCAUAGACACGAAGAGUGGAAAAGAACACGCCAGCCCCGGCGGCCGGCUCGGAGAUUAAACCCUGUUGGAAGGUAUGGAUGGUGUAUUUCUUCCAAUUCUGAGAUGUUGAUUUAGCUGUCCCAAACAUCACAUGAUGUGCUUCUCCAUAAUCCUGUACCCAAGUCAUUGCGGAUCUGCUGACAUGACUUUGGAUAUGCUGAGCCAGGGCAAAUAGAUUCUUUUGAAUUAUGCCAGUAGUGAGGAAGAAACAUGAGUACAGCUCUCAAAGUGGAAGAAAAGGUACUGAUUCUGCUCUGAGGACCAGUCCUGCGGAUGUGCAAGUUCAUCAGUGGUAGGACUAAAGUUUCUCCUGUCUUGUCUCUAACUUGAAUACACAUUCCACCCACAUUUUUGAGAGUACAGUAUCCUGAACUUGAAGUGUUUUCAAAUUAAUCUUUACAUUAAAUAAGCUAUGUUAAUUUUACCCACCCCAUAAUUCCCAUCCUUUUCUGCCUACAGUUCUCAGAAUUGUCAUUUACUAUUAUUUUGACCCAAGAAAAAUUUUUACUUAAAAAAUAUCUGUAGUUGGUAAUUUGUAGUAUUCAGAGUCCACGUAAAGUGAUACACAUGAACUCUUGUUGAACAUGAACCAUUACAUUCAAUAAAUCUUUUAAGGUGGUGAUUUGUCAUGGUUAGUGUGGCUGAAUGGUGACCAUUUCUGGAAUAAACAGGUCAACUAGUUUGUAGGAAAAUCUAGUCAUUUUCAGCUUUGGCUUCGGCAUCUACACUUCAAGCAAGUGGAAUCUUUCAAAAAAAAUGUUGGGUUUUGCUGAUUUUUUUUUUAUUGUAUUGUAGCCAAAUGUUUGAUAGGAAAUAAGUGAGAAGCUUUACAUUAAUUGUGGUCUCUGCCAGGAUUGAAUGAAGAGUUGAAGAAAGUGAUAUAAAUGAUGAUAUAUUUAUAUGUACAUCACUGUUGUUCUUCAUGAUCUGUAUUUACAAAAACAGUAUUCUUUUUUUCUUAAAGCCUGUAGGGCUCAGAAUACUGAUCCAAUAUAAACAUGUAUUAUUGCUAUAACAAAUAAUUAAAACAGAAAAAAACCCUCUUUUUAAUGAAUUUGCAUCAUUGUUGGGAGAUUAAAUUAAGUCAUCCAUAACAGUAAAUUGUAGCAAAGUAUAUACAGGGGAAAAUCAAUUUUAAAUAAUAGCUAGGAGUAUAAACCACUUUGGAAAGCAACUAUUAAAUUUUUCUGAAGUAAAAGUAAAAUUGUAGUUUCAUAGGAAUUGACCUUGACUUUUUGACAAUAGGUCUUUUGUGUCAAUAAUUUAUUUAGCUAACAAAUAUUGGCCACCCAGUAAACUAAAACAGGAUGUUUUUAUUUAGUGUUAUUUCUCUCACAUAGCUAUUUUAACAUUAAUUUAAGAUACUAAUGCAACAUUUAUGCUUUUGUUUCUUUUUUAAUGUCAAAUUACCUAAAAUAAUACAAUUUCGAACACACAAAAUAUAUAACACUACUAUUAUUUGAAUUUAACCUCCUGGUAUAAAUAUUUUGCUAAAUUUUCAUGAGUGUUUAUACAAUUUAUAUGACACUGUAUAUGUACUUUAGUAAUAUUAUCUAGAUGAGACUUUUCAGAUUGAAUAUAUGUAAACAAAUCCAUUUAACAUGGAAACAUGGUUAAAAUAUUAGUAAACAGCAUUUAAGACAUUUAUACUACAAAAAAUAACCAUGUAAUUAAAUUCAUCUAUAUAGAAUAGAAUAAAAGGAAGGUAGAGAGACACAGAGGGAGAGGGAGGGGAAGAAAGAAUAUCAAUGUGUGAACAUUUGCAAAGAAUUUAAGGUAGUGAAUAAACUUAAAACCAUUGAUUAUUUAGACUUAAUUCAAAUAAUUUUGAAUCUGCAUAAUAUUGCAAUGGUUUGUUGAAACAGGUGAGUACAUGGUCCCUCAGUAUCUUCAGGGGAGGUUGGUUCCAUGACCCCUACAGUUAUAUUCACCAACAUGUGCACAAGUCCCUUAUAAAAUGAUGUGGCAUUUGCAUAUAACCUAUGUAGCUUCUCUCAUAUACUUAGAUCAUCCAGAUCAUCUCUAGAUUACUUAAAAUAUGUAAUGCAAUAUAAAUGCUAUGUAAAUAGUUGUAAUUACAGUGUAAUUGCUAUGUAAAUAGUUGUCAGAGGUGUGACAAAUUCAAGUUUUGCUUUUGGAACUUUCUGGAAUUUUUUUUUCUGAUUUUUUUUUUUUUUUUUUGUCUUUUUG